UUCUUGCAGGAGAAGAGUGAAUCAUAACUUUUUAUCUUAAAAAAUAUAUGCAACCAGGGUAUACAUUGUGCUGAUAUAUGGACCAGUGCUCAGUGUUGCACUAUUUCAGUUCUGCUUGUGAAGCUGGACCUCUGGUCUGUGCAGCUGGAAGACAAAUAAAUUCUGGAUUUGGAAGGAUUAUUCCUGAGCUACAGGAAUACAACUUGUUUAUAGCGCACAAGGAAGCUUUUACUUUCUAUCUGGAAACUGCACACCAUUGUAGCAGGUUAACUUUCCCACAGGAGAGGAUGGAAAGGAGCCACCAAAGUGUAAAAAGCACUUGUAAUCUCAUACGAAAUAAAUGAUAAAGACAAUCCCAACCCAUAUUAUUUGAAAUGAUUCUCUUGUCAGCUUUGGCUCUGUUGCCUGACAGUGACACCUGCUGGGGCCAGCGAAGCCCUGGAGCCAGGCACCCAUCCCUGCAAGAGCCUGUCUCUGAGUCACUGCAGCGCUGAACUUGGCCUAGAUUGGAAACAGAAAUACCGAUUGUCAUGUCCCCCGUAUGCUGUGCUUUUAAGCCAAGUGGUAAAUGGAAAAAAAACACUAACAGAUGUUCUUAUGUUAUUAAUAUUGUUAUUAUUAUUAUUAUAAAUAAUAUUCCUUAUUGGCUGGAUUUCACUCCUGG
rnacentral:lncRNA from 1 species